AUGGGAUCAGUGUUGAAGACCCACCCCCCCACCGUCGGCCUCUUCCACGCCUGCGACAUCGACUCCGUCCACCUCGUCUGCCUCGUCUCCCACUUCUCCCCCGCCGCCGUCACCGUCGAGUGGUUGGUGGACGACCAGCGCCUCGUCCCCGCCCCUCCCGUUGACCCCAUCGUCCCCGAAGCCGCUGGCGGGACCUUCUCUACCAGCUCUCACCUCAACGUCUCCUUGGAGGAGUGGCAGCAGAAGACCUUCUCCUGCAAGGUCACCCACCCCGCCUCGAGCAGCGUGCAGGAGGUCACCGGCCACAAGUGCUUGAGUGCCCCGGCGGACGCCAGCCGCAUCCAAGUCUUCAUCCUUCCCCCCACCCCCUCGGAACUCUACGUCUCCCAAAACCCCAAAAUCCGGUGCUUGGCCACCAGUUUGCCCAGUGACGAGGGGAUGGUGGUGAGCUGGACCCGGAAACAGGGUGGGACCCUCCGUCCCCACCUCCACCCGCUGAAGGCCCAGUUCAACGGCACCUUCACGGCCACCAGCGAGGUCCCCAUCUCCACCUACGACUGGGAGGGGGGCGAGACCUUCACCUGCACCAUCAACCACGCCGAGCUGCCCUCCCCCAUCAGCAGGAGCAUCAGCAAGAAACCCGGUAAGGCCCUCCGCUCCUCCCCCGCCUCAUUUGCAUAG